rnacentral:lncRNA from 1 species
GAGGAAACUGGGGCGCACCUUGGCUCGUUCAAGGUGUCCUCAGAUAUCAAGUGGCAGAGCUGAUGCUGGAGUCUCAGGCGAGAGCAGCACCCUUUGACCUUUUCAACUCUUACCCGCCUGAUUCUAGAGCCACCCGGAUUGGAAGCGGCUAAACGGCCUCCCACCCUUAAUCUCACUGUCUGAAUGAUAAAUCCUGCAGGACUUCUCCUUCCAUUCAAGCCCUUCACACUCUCCUUUGAGGAGCUGCUGCCUCCACCCCCCGACUUGUGUGACCCGAUGACCAAUUGGAGAUGCCACAAGGAACAAAACUCAGCGAGGCCAGAAGGUCGUUUGGUGCCCAAACUGCCACUCUAGGAAAUGUCUGCAAAUUCAUCCGUGUAAUGUAGUUGAUCAAUGAGGACAACAUGGUGGGUUUGCAUUCUCUCUCGCCCCAAGGAAGCUCAGAGGAACAAAAUGGUAACUGAUCACUUGGACUUUGUUGUCCAGUAAUCAUGAAAGACACAAAGGAUCCUGGUUCUUCUCCCUAUGAUGAGCUGCAAUCCCGAGGAUUUAUUGUGAGAUAAGGGGGCAGAUUCAAGGGUACAACAGUCUGUGGUCUUGAAAUAGGACAAAGGUAUUGGUUCCUUACAGGAAUGAAGCCAGUGAACUUAGACUUUAUUUAUUUAUUUAUUUAUUUUGUGGCAAGCCCACAUCAUGAGUAAGUGCCUGGGAUGGAACACAGUGAUGACAACACUAAAUCCUUAAUCUGCUGAGCCACCAGGAAACUCCUGACCUUGGUCUUAGCACCCCUCAUAUUCUGGUGAAUUUAUGGGCCACAGCCAGAGCUUUGGGGCUGCUGAAGAUGUAAUGCAGGAGGGCAACACAGGAGAGGUCAUGUGGGAAAGGAAGCUUGGUCACCAGUCAGAUUUGAGUAACUUUAGGGAGUCAUCACUUAUUAGCUAUUGGAAUAUGCAAAUAUGUAAAUCUCUGAGCCUAGGUUUCAUCAUCUACUUAAUGAGGAUGAUGACCUAAGGCAGAGGAUGGAGGAAGGAGGGUUAAGUGUGAUCAUGUAAAGUAUGCAGUCCCCUGCACGCAGUGAGUGAUUCCUCCAUGAAAGGUAGUAGAAGAGCUCCCUAGUGGCUCAACAGGUUAGGGACCUGACAUUGUCACUAGGGCUUCAAUCCUUGGCCUCAGGAAUUUCUUCAGGCUUCGGGCAUUGCUCUCCCUCCCUCUUCCGCUCAGACACCCCCCCCCACUCCCCCUCCCCCGCCAAAAUAGUGGAAUGCUACAGAUACAUAAGCUGGAGUGACAGUGGUCCAGCUUUUAAGCAGAAAUCAAGAAAUAUGUGUGUCUGUGGGUUGGGAAGGAAGGGAAAAAGGGAAGAUGGUGGCUCUGGGAUGAAUGCUAGUCUCUCCAAAGGCAGGGGCCAGGGAAGGGACUCAUGUGGGAGGUGAUGAAAUCAUCUUUCCCAAAGUCCAGGAGUAUCUAUCUAUCUCUUCAUUUACCACGCCCCCAACCUUCCUAGCCAUGCAUCCUUCCUUGGUCAGGGCCCUGCUCCACCAGCUCCACUAGGGUCCCCCAGGGACCCAGGGAGGGUCAGCCAAUUACGGUUUUGUAUUCUAAGAUCUGGAGGGAUGGAGUUCCUGCCAUGGUCCAGCAGGUUACAAGCACAACUAGUAAUCCAUGAGGAUUCGGGUUCAAUCCCUGGCCUUUCUCAGUGGAUUAAGGAUCUAGUGUUAACUCAAGCUGUGGUGCAGGUCACAGAUGAAGCUUGGAUCUGAUGUUGCUGUGGCUGUGGUGUAGGCAGGCAGCUGUAGCUCCAGUUCAACCCCUAGCCUGGGAACCUCCAUAUGCCGCAGCUAUGGUCCUUAAAAAAAAAAAAAAAAAAAAAAAAAAAAAAUCUGGAGGGGAAUAUUGGACAUCACUAAAUUAAAUUCCACCGUGACACUUUUUUGGGGCCUCCCCCCCAAAGAAUGUGGAAGUUCCCAGGCUAGGAAUCAAACCCGGACCACAGCAAGUGACAACAUUGGAUCCUUAAUGUACUGUGCCACAAGAGAAAUCCCUCACUGUGUCAUUUUAUCUGUGAGGGAACUGAGACCCAGAAAGGAAGAUCUAUUCUAGUCCUGCCUCUGCAACUAAGGUUCUGUGAAGCCUUAGGCAAGUCACUUUCCCUCUCUGAGCCUGCUGUUUACUUAUCUGUAAAACUGGGGCUUGGCUUGCAGUGUUGAGAUGUCUAAGCACCCUUCAACUCCCACCUCCGCUGUAUUAAAAUCAUAGUUCCAGAGUUCCCAUUGUGGCUUGGAAGAUUACAAACCUGUCUAGUAUCCAUCCAUGAGGAUGAGGGUUCGAUCCCUGGCUUCUCUCAGUGGGUUAAGGAUCAGGGGUUGCCGCAAGCUGAGGCAUAGGUCGCAGAAGCUGCUCGCAUCUGACCUUGCUAUGGCUGUGGUGUAGGCUGCAGUGAUGAUUCAACCCCUAGCCUGGGAACGUCCAUAUGCCACAGGUUUGGCCCUGAAAAAUAAUAGUAAUUUUUUAGAAAUAAAAAUAAAA